ACUGCAGUAGUGAAAAUGAAGCGCACGAUGGGCGGAAGCUAGGAAGACAAACAUAAAGAUGAAGUGCUUAAUUCAAGGUCACACAAUGUCGGGGAUGGACCUCCAGAUUUCCUUACUGGUGAGACGUGGUCUUGUAACACAGUGGUUAAGAAUGUGACUUUGGAGCCAGCCUGCUAGGGGCUGAAUUCUGACUCAGCCAUUUACUAACUGUGUGACCUUAGGUCACAGAAUUUUCCACACUCCUUGACAGAGGUGCUUAACCCUUAUCCAUCAGCAUUCUCAGACAGCACCUCCGGUUAGGGACAGUAUCUGACCGUCCGACAUCCCUGCAGCCCCCAUGUGUCACACAGACUCAGCCUCAGGUAGAUGGUUUCCGUAGAUGGUGGCUUUCUUUGGACCCUUGACAUCAACCAGUUACUAUUUGCCAGAGACAGACUCCCAGACUCGGCCAGAGGCUGAUGCCAACUCCUUCCAGCUCU
rnacentral:lncRNA from 1 species